rnacentral:lncRNA from 1 species
UGAAAACAUCAUCUGACCAUUGAGCUAUAAUGUAUGAACAACUCAUCUGAACGAUUGAGCAUAAUGGUAUGAACACAUCAUCUGAUCUGUCACCUGGCCCUAGAGAGAUCAGUAAUGAUGAGGAGCGUUGGGGCCUGCCAUUGCACGGGGCUGUGAAGCCUGACAUUUAUAUAACCGCACAACGCCAAAGCCUGGUUGGGUAGUUGGUGUUAACGGGUGAUGUGCUUGGGUGCUGUGUGUGUGUGGAGCAGGACAGCCAGUGUAGCGAACAGUGGAGGCAGGGCUGCUGAGGGUAGGAUGGCUCAUAAUAAUAUCCAUUCCAGACAUUAAUAUGACCCCAUGGUUUCUAAUUGAUAAAGUAGCUAUACAGUUUGGCUUGACAAUGAUAGAAGAUGUAAUACAGAACAGGCUCCUUCCCAAAUGGUGGAUCUGACCGUUGCUGAAUUUUGGCUUAGUCGAACCCACCCUAUUUCAAACACAAAGUAUUCUCAGAGAGGAAACAGACAAUACAUUUAUUUUUCACACAUUUCAAAGUAAUACAGGAAAGAAUAAGUCAGAAAGUCUCAAACGCUCACCCCACUACACACCCCAAGGGCUCUAUCAUCACAACAGAAUUCACCCACACUAAACAACCCCAAUGGCUCUAUCAUACAACAGAAACCCACACACACACCCAAGGCUCUAUCAUCACAACAGAAUUCACCCACCUACCAACCCAGGCUCUAUCACACACAAUUCCCCACACACACCCCUGGCUCUAUCAUCACAACAGAAUUCACCCACACUACACAACCCCAAGGCUCUAUCAUCACAACAGAAUUCACCCAAAUACACAACCCCAAUGGCUCUAUCAUCACAACAGAAUUCACCCACACUACACAACCCCAAAUGCUCUAUCAUCACAACAGAAUUCACCCACACUACACAACCCAAUGGCUCUAUCAUCACAACAGAAUUCACCCACACACACACAACCCCAAUGGCUCUAUCAUCACAACAGAAUUCACCCACACUACACACACCCCAAUGGCUUCUAUCACACACAGAAUUCACCCCACUACACAACCCCAAUGGCUCUAUCAUCACAACAGAAU